AGGGUUCGGAGUUCUGGCGUCAGGAUGAACGCUGGCGGCGUGCCUAAUACAUGCAAGUCGAACGAGCGAAGCCCAGCUUGCUGGAUGGAGCUAGUGGCGAACGGGUGAGUAAUACGUAAGCAACCUGCCUACACGGACUGGGAUAACACCUGGAAACGGGCGCUAAUACCGGAUAGGUAACGGAAGGGCAUCCUUCUGUUAUUAAAGGUUUGAAACACAAGUAGAUGGGCUUACGGUGCAUUAGCUAGUUGGUGAGGUAACGGCCCACCAAGGCGAUGAUGCAUAGCCGGCCUGAGAGGGUGAACGGCCACAUUGGGACUGAGACACGGCCCAGACUCCUACGGGAGGCAGCAGUAGGGAAUUUUCGGCAAUGGGCGCAAGCCUGACCGAGCAACGCCGCGUGAAGUGAUGAAGGUUUUCGGAUCGUAAAGCUCUGUUGUAAGGGAAGAAUGGCGCGGAUAGACUCCGCGAUUGACGGUACCUUACCAGAAAGCCACGGCUAACUACGUGCCAGCAGCGGC
rnacentral:rRNA from 1 species